rnacentral:rRNA from 1 species
UACGUAGGAGGCAAGCGUUGUCCGGAGUUACUGGGCGUAAAGCGCGCGCAGGCGGUCAGCCAAGUUUGGGGUGACAGUCCUCGGCUUAACCGAGGAAGCGCUUCGAAAACUGGUUGACUUGAGGGCUUCAGAGGGAUGCGGAAUUCCGGGUGGAGUGGUGAAAUGCGUAGAUAUCCGGAGGAACACCAAAGGCGAAGGCAGCAUCCUGGGAAGUACCUGACGCUCAGGUGCGAAAGCUAGGGGAG